UGCGAAGGGGGCUAGCGUUGUUCGGAUUUACUGGGCGUAAAGCGCACGUAGGCGGAUCGUUAAGUCGGGGGUGAAAUCCUGGAGCUCAACUCCAGAACUGCCUUCGAUACUGGCGAUCUAGAGUCCGGAAGAGGUGAGUGGAACUCCUAGUGUAGAGGUGGAAUUCGUAGAUAUUAGGAAGAACACCAGUGGCGAAGGCGGCUCACUGGUCCGGUACUGACGCUGAGGUGCGAAAGCGUGGGGAGCGAACAGG
rnacentral:rRNA from 1 species